AUUGAACGCUGGCGGCAGGCCUAACACAUGCAAGUCGAACGAGUGGCGGACGGGUGAGUAAUGUCUGGGAAACUGCCUGAUGGAGGGGGAUAACUACUGGACACGGUGGCUAAUACCGCAUACCAUCAGAUGUGCCCAGAUGGGCUGAGCUCGUUGGGGGGGUAACGGCUCACCAAGGCGACGACCCCUAGCGUGUCUGAGAGGAUGACCAGCCACACUGGAACGGAGACACGGUCCAGACUCCUACGGGAGGCAGCAGUGGGGAAUAGUGCACAAGGGGCGCACGCCUGAUGCAGCCAUGCCGCGUGUAUGAAGAAGGCGUUCGGGUUGUAAAGUACUUUCAGCGGGGAGGAGUUACCCGCAGAAGAAGCACCGGCUAACUCCGUGCCAGCAGCCGCGGUAAUUC
rnacentral:rRNA from 1 species